AAAACAACCCAAUUUAAUUGGGCAUGGGGUCAAGCAUUGGUACCCCCCAUACACAAGGUCUGCAGGUUAUUUUAAUGUGUAACAAGGAUUACAAACCACAGAGGAAGAAGCCAGUUGCCAUGUAUCGCGUACCUGAGGAAAGAGAAUUCUCCAAAGACAGGACACAAAUUGAGAGGAUUAGACUACUUUCUAAAAACCGUAACUUCAACAAACGGA
rnacentral:lncRNA from 1 species